rnacentral:lncRNA from 12 species
CACUGGGCAAAGGGCUUCUCACAACAUGGGUUGUGGAUUUCAACUUGGGAGAAUCCAGUAUGUCUCUUGCAGCCCCUCAUCAGCCAACAGGCACCUACUAAACUUGUGCCCUGUACUAGGCCAUGGCCAGGUACAAGGAGCUCACAGGCUGGCCACCCCAGCUCAAAGGCCGAGGACAGCUGAGCAGGGGAUGGGGUGAAUGGCAAAGGGCACCUGAGCCAGCCUGGGGAGACGAUCGGCAAUCAGUAAGGCUUUCUCAGAGGUGGCCUAUAGUAGCCCCUCAAUAAAUGUGCAUUGGGCCCGACUGAGAAAAAUCUCAGAAAGAGGAGAAAGAGCAGGUGUGACAGGCAGAGAGAGCCUGCGUGUGAGAUCGAGGCCGGCAGAGGACAUGAGCUCUGGGGGACACAGAGACAUUGAGGGGUCCCAGCUUGUAACCCUAGUGACUGUAGCUUGGUCACCCCACUCUUCCUGCCUCUUCCUUAAUUUCCCCUUAAGGCGGCUCAAGCCUACAUCUGAGGGCAGUGGGGAGUCCUGCUAAGAGCUUCCAUGGGCUCCCAAGAGGGCUUUGUCCAUCUCAGGGUGACUCUGGCCACCCUACCCUCCCAGUGCAUCUCCUGCAAUGCUGUCUCCUCCCUCGCCUCCUCCAUGUGGGGACAGCUCCUCUUCCCUAGUCCCCAAAGCUCUGCUUAUACAAGGGUGCCCAGGAGGCUUCUAAAGUUCUUUCUCUUAUACAUUUUACAAAGGUUAUGUAUGCAGAGAGAGACAGAGACACAGGCCAAGGGGCAGAGUUGAGGUGCACCCUUCUGGUUAUCAAUCUAGAAGUUUAAGGAUUUUUUAUGAACAUAAGAAAUCAUUAACUCAAUCUCCAGCCCCUUCUCAUUCCCAGAAAAUGGGACUGAAAGUCCCAAGCUUCUAAUCAUGGUGACUGGCCGGAACCUGCAGGUACCCAGGAGCCACCAAGAGUUGCCUCAUUAGAACAGAAGAUGCCCCCACUCCCUAGAGACUUCCAAGGGAUUUAGGAGCUCUGUGUAGACAUUCCUAUCAGCCCCCCUCACUCAAGAAAUUAUAGGGGUUUUAGGAGCACUGUGUCAAGAACUGGGGACAGAGACCAAAUACAAUUUCUGGUGGUGUCCCAGUCCCCAUCCUCCUUGGAGUCACUGUCCCCUCCAGGGACAACCAGAAGGUUAAGAGGCUGCUCUGUAGUCUCUGGACUUAGUUCUAUAAGCAAGUGUUUGCUAAAUGUCAAAGCUGGAGAUGGCAGGUCCCAGAGCCAGGGUGGCCAGGAGCUGCUUUCCUGACCUCAUCCAGGCUCCCACGACCCUAAGCCAGUGGUUCUCAAAGUGAGGUGCCCAAUCAGCAGGAUCAACAUCACCUGAAAAACUGUUCAAAAUGCAAAUUCUCAGCCCCACUAGCUCUGGGUGGGCCCAGUGAGGUGCACUUUAACACACUCUCAGGGCAUCCCAGUAAAGGCUCAAGUGUGAGGACACUGACCCAAGCUGCCCCUUUAUGCAACUGACCAGCCUGCGGGCUCCAUCCCCAGAGAUGAUGCUCAUCCAGGCCGGAUGUGGGGUGCUGUGCAGCCUGUAAACCGGGGGACCGGGUGCCCAGAGGAGUGGGUGGGACUGCGGAUUUGAAGGUGGGAUUUAGGUUGAGUCCUGGAGGACAAGAAUGAGGAGACCUGUAGGUGAAAGGAAGUGGGCUGGAUGGGGAUAGAGGCCGGAGCACGAUGGGCCUGGAGCACUAGAAGGUCUGGGGCAAAGUGAUGGUUGGGGGGUGAGGGCUCCCCUGGGAG